AGUGAACGCUGGCGGUAGGCCUAACACAUGCAAGUCGAACGGCAGCACAGUAAGAGCUUGCUCUUACGGGUGGCGAGUGGCGGACGGGUGAGGAAUACAUCGGAAUCUACUUUUUCGUGGGGGAUAACGUAGGGAAACUUACGCUAAUACCGCAUACGACCUACGGGUGAAAGCAGGGGAUCUUCGGACCUUGCGCGAUUGAAUGAGCCGAUGUCGGAUUAGCUAGUUGGCGGGGUAAAGGCCCACCAAGGCGACGAUCCGUAGCUGGUCUGAGAGGAUGAUCCGCCACACUGGAACUGAGACACGGUCCAGACUCCUACGGGAGGCAGCAGUGGGGAAUAUUGGACAAUGGGCGCAAGCCUGAUCCAGCCAUACCGCGUGGGUGAAGAAGGCCUUCGGGUUGUAAAGCCCUUUUGUUGGGAAAGAAAAGCAGCAGGUUAAUACCCCGCUGCUCUGACGGUACCCAAAGAAUAAGCACCGGCUAACUUCGUG
rnacentral:rRNA from 1 species